rnacentral:rRNA from 1 species
AUUGAACGCUGGCGGCAGGCCUAACACAUGCAAGUCGAACGAGUGGCGGACGGGUGAGUAAUGUCUGGGAAACUGCCCGAUGGAGGGGGAUAAAUACUGGAAACGGUAGCUAAUACCGCAUACCAUCGGAUGUGCCCCGAUGGGAUUAGCUGGUAGGUGAGGUAACGGCUCAACUAGGAGACGAUCCCUAGCUGGUCUGAGAGGAUGACCCGCCACACUGGAAAUAGGCAACGGUCCAGACUCCUACGAGAGGCAGAAGUGGGGAAUAUUGCAAAAUGGGCUCAAGCCUGAUGCAGCCAGGCCGCGUGUAUGUAGAAGGCCUUCGGGUUGUAAUGUACUUUCAGCCGGGAUGCGUUACCCGCAGAAGAAGCACCGGCUAACUCCGUGCCAGCCGACGCGGUAAUAC